CUUUCAUUUUGGAAGAAAAGUAGCUUUUGAAGACUCCAGGUCCUGCAUUUCUCCCUCUCCAGUCUGCUCUGCUAAUGACAUCAAGUUUGCUCCCCCUGUGUUUUAGGGGUUUUUUUUUAAGGAAGAAGGAAUAAGUAACAUUGACUGAAAAUCCUUAAUGAUGGAAGCAAAGGAAAUGAUAGGCUGGGCAAAGAGCCAUCCGUCCCUGGUGUCUCAUGGUGGCUGUCUGUGAGUGGCCGUGCCCUAGGAGUUCCUGCUUCCGUGCUGCACACGCCUGCCCCUGUGCCAUAGUCCAUGGGCUCCUGGAAGAUGCCGCUGCAGCUGUCUGUGGAGCCAUCUUGCAAAGGCCCGAGGCAAUGUGCAAUAUUGCUGUGCCGUGAGUCUGGAUGUGGCUGACCCAGAGACCCUCGCAGGAUACAAGAAUUCAACAGGGGGGACACACAGGGGAGAGCAGGAAUGAUUUUUUUAACUGGAACCUCAGCCAAAUGUCAACAGAAUUUUGGUCCCAGGCCUACUUGAUCUUGUCCAUUUGGCACUGCUGGAGGAAUAACAAGUUUCUUCCCAUCAUGCACCUUUCUGGGAUACAUCAUGACAGAGAAAUCUCAAAGCCCAGGUCAAUUAUAACAGAAGAUGUGUAGCACCUCUGCCCCCACAGCGUCUUCUGGGGAUCCACUCAGCAAAAUGAUAUAAAACUAUUUCCAAAGACUUCCCAUGGUCUGGCACUACUUAGAACUGAGUAACUGGCAAAAUAAAACGGAGUGACUUUGGUGGAACGACUCAGAUGUGCCUUUAUGCAGCCCUGCUCUGGACAGCCCGUGGUCUGCAGAACAGCAGAGGUCUGCCUUCAAGUUACUGCAGGCAGAAGAGGGGACAGACUCACAAGUCUGGCAUUCAGCAAGAUGAUAUGGUACAAAGCACCACCCAA